CCGGACGCCGUGCGUGGUGCAUACCAUACAACUUGUGGUCCACAUGUUGCAGAAAGAAACAACUGUCAAAAGAGUCCUCGAUAAAGCAAGAACACACUAAAACCCUCCAGAGUGACACCACAUCUAUGUCCCUAGUGGUUCCUGCCCUCUUUGAUCUGCUGAGCCACCUAGCUGACUUUGCAGAGAACAGCCGGUACAGAGACCUCGCCACUCUUGCAGAGAAAAUGAGAUCAAAUCUGAACCUGCGUUUUGCUUGCCUCUUGGAUCCAACCGAUGAAAAGUUCUCACCACUUGCAGCAGCUGCCUGCUUUGUCAACCCAACUGUCUGUGAAAUCCUUGUUAAUGUUGAUGUAGCUGAUGGAAAUAUCCAGGAACUGCUGAAACAGGCAGAAGACUAUGUGGUCAAAUGCACUUUCCUCCCACACACAAGACAGGAGGACCACCAGUCUGACGAUGAUGCAGAAGAAGUCAUUGAGGAACCAGAACCAGCGCCAUCUUCAAAGCAGCCGGUGUUUAGGUUCCUCUCAAAAUGCCGCACCACAAGACCUAAACAGAAAACCUCCACAACCAGCGUCAGGCAGCAGAUCAUUAAGUACAAGGAAGAACUUUCACAUCCCAUCACUGAGGACACAGGAACAGACUUCUGGCUGGAAAAGAGUGACAGUUUUUAUCACAGUUUAAAACCUUUUGCUUUGGACUUGUUGGCUAUGCCAGCUUCUCAAGCUUUUGCAGAGAGAGUAUUCAGCAUCACAGGUGACCUCACAAGAGGACGGCGCAACAGAGGAAGGGUCAGCUUGGAGCGAAGUGCUUUCCUUAAAAUGAACAGAAACAAAUAGAACUGUUGUAUUCACUGCUAUUUACAGCAUUACAGCUGUAGCAGUAUAUGCACAACUUAGAGUUUCCGGUCUGGUAUUUGUUUUGUUUUUUGUUUAAUAUGAGAGCAGAGAGAUUUUUCUUGUUCCAUGCAAUAAUGGCAUUACAGCUGAGCAUGUAAUUCACUUGUCUUGAGUUGAGCUCCUUGAUACUAGCUCAUUGAUACUACUUCGAAUUAUUAACAGAAGAAUAUUUUGUUUUGUGUGCAAUGACAUUUCAACCAAUGCAUAUUUUCUUUUAGGCUACAUAUGUUUUGUUUUUCCUUUUCAAAUCUAAGUGAUUUUGCUCACAAUGCACAGAGUAAUAGUUGAUGACUAAGAAGAUGAUGCUUAGUUACAGAGUUGUGUGCUUUUUAGUUUAAUGUGAUAUUUACCUGUAUUUUAAAUGCUGAGACAGCACAGCAGGGUGUUUUUUUUUUUCAUUUACUUGAACAUUAAGGAGUAUUACAGCCAAUACAUCUUUUAUUCUACUUUUGAGAAUUCUUGUUGAUUUUGUAAGGCAUUGUAGCCUAACAGUAAUUUAAGUUAUCUUGAGGUACAGUACGUGAACGUUAUCAGUAGUGCAUUUUCUGUAUCUACCUUGUGCAAUGGCAUUACAACCAAUAGUUGUAUUAUUAUUUUUGAGAAUUGCACUUUAUUUAUUUGUUUAUUUUUUUUGAGUUAGGUGAUUUAUUCUUUCAAGAUGAAAGACAAUAUUAUUGAAAUAGAUGUCAUAUGCAAUACAUAUCAUUCAAGGAGAAUGCAUAUCUUUUUCAGGGAGCAUGUAUAUUUUUCAGGGAGAGCAGGCCUUAUGCUAACUUUAUUUGAGAUUAUCUUUUGUGAAAAAGCCAUGGUCAGUGUUUUUGACAUUAAAAGUAAAAUAAAAUACAUGUUUUGUUCUGUUAAA